GACGGAGGGGGCUAGCGUUGUUCGGAAUUACUGGGCGUAAAGGGCGCGUAGGCGGUCUUGUGUGUCAGGGGUGAAAUCCCAGAGCUUAACUCUGGAACUGCUCCUGAAACUGCAAGACUAGAGUGACUAAGAGGUGGACGGAAUUCCGAGUGUAGCAGUGAAAUGCGUAGAUAUUCGGAGGAACAUCAGUGGCGAAGGCGGUUCACUGGUAGUCAACUGACGCUGAGGCGCGAAAGCGUGGGGAGCAAACAGG
rnacentral:rRNA from 1 species